GCCGAGGGCAGGCACCUAUCUGAUGGAAGAGUCCUCGAUCCCUGUACCUUGGCGUGUUACAUUGUCUCAGACUCCCAGAGCUCUUGGCACAGCUAAAACUCUUCAGAGAAACUUGCGGGAACCAGCCAAGGUCGCUGAGUCAUUUUGAGUCAUUCUCUCAGGCAACUUGGAGGGUACUUUGCUCAUCAUAAUACCAAAUUCUCUGCUGGAAAGUGCUUCUGUCUUUCCUUUUCGAACAUGUGAUCUAUGGCCCUAAAUUGAUGUCUGAAGCGACCGCCUUAAGCUGAGCAUGCCCGCGCCCCAUGUGAUUUCCUGUGUCGUAAAAGGCCGCCGCUCGCUCUGUUGCAGGAGAGCUCUGCUUUGCCAACUGCUCUAGCGUCCUCCUCCCUUGCUGCGAGUAAUGAAUCUCUCUGCACUCUUAUCUCCUG
rnacentral:lncRNA from 1 species